UAAAAUAAUAUUUUUACAUGCUCUGUUUCCUUUUCUGUUAAGAGAAAGUUUUUCACACCAAAAUCCUUGGCACUUUCAAAUAGUUCAACAUCAGAUGCUGAAAUGAUUUUGUUAGUGGAAAUGGCAUCAAAGAAAAGGAUUAGGUGAAUACCUAUGAAAAAUUCCUGGUGGUUCAAGAGAUAGCAGGAGAAAUUUUUAAGGAACAGAGAUGGCUUCAAAAACAACAGCACCUUGACACAAAGCAGGUAAAUACCUCUUUGGCAUUUAUUGAUCUGUGUUGGAUUUGAUUUCAAAUGAAUGCCCAUAUUAUUUCCAAUGGUUUUUGUUUCUCAGUAA
rnacentral:lncRNA from 1 species